UAAGAAUAUGGCAAUAAGGAGGAGUUCUCACUAGUUUCCAGCAUUUCAUCAUACUAACUGCUUAAAUCUUUCCAUCAGUAUUAGAAGAGUUCCAGAAACAUUUAUUCCAGGCAUACAUUAGUUUGUUUUGUAUGUUUGGGUGAUGAUACUCUCUGUAUAGUGUUUGGAUAAUCAGGGUCAAGCAUUUCUGCUGUUCAAAUUCUCUCUGCAUUUCAUGACAGCAUCUACAUUCAAGAUUCCCAGAGGCACCAUCCACAAAGCUCUACAGCAUUUAGAUGGAGUUGCAAUUUGUUUCUAAGACAGAGGACAAGAAAUAUGAAGAAGCCUUUCCCUGGAGGCUGAUCCACGUGAUUCAGGAGAGGAAAUGUUUAGAGUUAGAAAGACUCCAUACAGUGCCUAGCUCCAGAUAAGGCUCAUGGUUCUUUCACAGUUAUGUGUGAAUAUGAAUGUGGCUUUUAUAUAUGUGGGCUGCUUUUUAAAUGAAAGGUAAUUUUCUUUUUUAUCAGUCUGGGAGACAAAAACCAAUGGAUGUGUGAAGUAUUGGAGUGAUGUUAACAGGAGCCCUGAGUGCACUGACUGUCCGCCUUGCAGUCCCACACUGUCGGCCUAGAGACCAGAGGAAGGAUCUAGGAGCAGGGAGAGAUCUGUGGCUCCUCUUUGUAUUCCCUCUAAUGAAGGUGUGAAGGUUAGAGGAAAAAUACUGUUACCCAGGUCAUUGAAAAUACCACAGGUAAUUUUAAUUUCUACUGGAUUACUGUAAUUUUGUUUUCUUUUUUAGUUUUUAGAUUUUUUUAUCAUUGACUCUUGCUUUUUUAUUAUUAAUAGUCAUAUUGGCUACAUAAAAUGUAUAACAAACAUUACAUUAUUUAGUAUAAUCUGUAAUAAGCUAUGUAAAAUGAGAACUACAUGUCCCUUAAGAGUUUAAAAGAACUUUGAGUAAAACUGCAUUUCUUUGAAAAUUUUAAGGAAAAAAAAAAGAUAUUUUAAAGUUUUACAAAGUGAAGUCCCUCUAAUACCAAAUUUUCUUUGCAGUCUCUUAGUCAGGAUAGAGUUACUGAGCCUCUAUUUCAGCAUUCUAGAUCCAAACAAAAAGUGGCAAUCACCUCUUUGAUUGAUGAUUUACUGUAUUGGAGGACUUUGAGAAUUUAUUUUAAAAUUAAGUAUAUCCAAAAGAUAAUUUUAUUUAUGAGAACUGUAAAUAUCUGCAGACAUUUUCUCUUUCCUAUUCUAAAACUUACUAAAAUUUUAGAUACAGGAAUUCUCUGUUGAAAAAAAUAUAUAUAUGUAUAGAUAGAUACACACGUAUAUAUAUACGAAAUGUGAGAAAAAAUAUAUAUAUAUAUUCCUUUGAUGGUCUUUAAUAUUUAGUUUAAAAACUUUAAGGAAAUCAUAAAACUUUUAAAUUUCAACUCUCUCUAAGAUUAUAUGGGCAGUUAAGUUUAAAUAUAGAGCAUAUAUUUCUUCAGUUAAAAGGAAGUGUGUAUUUACUGCUGUUCAAUUAGAAAAAGCAAUUAACACCUGCCUAAUCAUAAGCUACACUGUUUUUUAUGUUUAGAUUUUCAAAAUAGAGCUUGCCCAUAAGGACAUCUACCUACUGGGGAACAUAGAAUUAUUUUGAAAAGUUUGUUAAGAAUUGGCUGAUUACUUGACCUAAGGAUUUAAUUCAGCAUGAAUACACAAAAGAAAGAAAAUGUAUAUUUGCUUGUGUUCAAGUCUGAAAUUAAGCUUUGGUCUACGGUUAAAUUAAUACAGCCCUGAGAACACCUUGUCUUAACUUCCUAAAAAUUAAUUUUGAGAAAUAGAUUUAAUAGUACCAAGGUACAUUGUUGUUAUAAUGAAGAAGGCGAGAAUAGUUUUUAUUACCUUAAUUGACGCGCUUUUAUAAAACGUCAUUUGCAUCUGGAUUCUAAAGGGAACGUGAAUUAUUUUUGCACGAUUAUGAUUUGGAGUAAUAUUGAAAUAUUAAAAAAAUUCAUCCUUUUAUUCUUAAUUGAAUUCCAAUGCAGUAACUUCAAAACAAUGGAAAUAGCAUGAGGCCAGAAAGGGGAAAGGGAGUAGUUGACACUUUGCAUACCACCAGUAACAUGGAAUAGGAGGGAUGCUACAAUUAUAGGAUGCUACUAAAUAUGAAAAUUUAUUCAUUAAUUCAGCAUUUGUACACUGAGCAUCUACUAUGUGUCAGCUAUCAAGUAUGUAAUGAUGAGCGAAGAAAAAAAAACAAAAAACAAUAAUCAACCCAAAAAGUAAUACUGUCAUGUAGAUUAUAGCAUUAAGAUUAUCCAAAACUUAAACAUUCUACAAAUAGAUGUGAAAUUAAUUACAAGUGUUAAAGUGUUAUUACUGCUACAAAAGAAAGGUAAUGUUUUGCAAGAUCAUAGAAUAGUCAACUUAACCUUGUAGAAAGAUCAAGGAAGUCUUCCCAAGGAAUUAAAUGAUACUUUCAUUAUCUUUGCUUUACCUGUGAAGAGCUGAAGUACAGUUAAAUAACUUGCUAAAGUUUUCACAACUGCUAAGUGAUAAAGACAGGACUGGGAUCCAUGCACUGGUGCCAGAGCCUACAAUAUUAACCCCUCUAAUAUACUGUCCGCCACUGAAUUCCUUACUAUAAUGUCAAGAGUUUAUUAGGCAAGCUUCAUCAGGUUGACUAAGCAAUGGUCAUCAAGGGAACAGUAAAGAGAGGUUAGGAGAGAGGAAUAAUUAGAAUUAUAAUAACUCAAAUAUGCAGCAACCUCACGAAUUAGGAAAGGAAAAGAAAAAGAAAAAUAAAUAAAUGUAUAACUAGCCUUGAAUCUAGUUUAUGGAAAUAAGUAGUUUUCAUCUAACAGUCUGCAUAGGAAACUACAUAAGCUCAAUUCACAGAAUGAAGAUAAAUGAUUAUUAAAAAUAAUCCUCAUCUAUGACAGAAUACUUUGUGCCCACUCCCAAUCAUAUCAUUUAAAGCUAAAUUACCAAAAGCAUGUCAUUUGUCUUUGAAUUUCAGGUUUAUUAACUGUAUAAUGGCAAUUGAAUUACCUUUCCUGGAAUUAAAGGUAAACAGUCUUUUCCCCACAUUAUUCUGAAAUUGAUUUUGCUUUGAAGAUAACAUGUACACUUACAUUGUGUUUCUGUUUCAUGAAAAUCUAUUGUUAAUGCUAAAUAUUUUAAAAUAAUGUUUUCAUUCAUUAAUUCAAUGAAUACUUAGAAAAUUCUAUUGAAGAUACUGGACAAAAUUAAGAGAGGCAUAAUUUUGGAGCUUACAUUCUAUAGGAGGAGAAAGAAAAUUAACAAGUAGACCAAGCCAUGUAUAAAUACAAUUUAUGUUUAUAAUUGAAUAUGGAACAUGCAGAAGCCAUUCUCAAAUGGAUAACUCUAGUCUGGGUGGAAAUCAAACAUUUCUUGCCCAAUGUACCAAUGAGACUGUACCAUAAUAAUGUGUAAAUAUUCCUAAUAUAAAUAAUAGUAUAAGUAAUAUUUGCUUCAGUGCUUCAAUUUCUUAAUCAAAUACACUAAAGAAUAAUUGUGGAUCUUUAAUUUCUACAUUUUACAUUUACUUUGCUGAAUAAUUAUUAUAUUUAUAAUAUUACCAAUAUUUAAUAACCUACUCUACUGUAGUAGGGCUUCUACGGUAGGAAAGCUAAGAUUGUAAAUCCUAUUAUAAAGUUUUGUUUUUCCCUUAAGCAAAACAACUCCUAUUUUUUUUGUGUAAACUCAUUUUUCUACAAUAAUUGGAUGUUUUAAAGAGACAUAGUUAUUCUUCUGGUAUUUUCUAUUUUAUUUUUUCACUGCAAAUUCAUCACCUCAUUCUGUUGACUGGAUCAAAUUUAUUAUUAAUGUAUCACCUGGGCUGUCAGUAAUUUUUAACAUGUCAAUAUUUUCCAGUAUUUCUAGUAAGUAUGCUUUACCAGAAACAUACAUAUUUUAUAGUUUUUCUUUGCUUCUUAAAUUUUCCUUUAUUUAUUUUCAGAAGUCUUUGUCUUUCUUUUCACUGAGAAAGUCAACCAUGGUUUAUGGGUCAGCUUAAUUUUUUACUUAAAGGAGGUCUUUCCUAAUUACCUAAUUUAAAUUGAUAUCCACUCAGAUUGUUCUGUUUUAUUGUAUCCUAAUGUUUUCCUUCAUCUGUCACAUUUCAAAAGUAUUGCUUAUGUAAGUCCUCAAAAGUAUUGCUUAUGUAAGUGUUUUAGCAUACACUUUUCCUACCACUUGGAGUCUCAUGGUCCCAGUGACUACGUGGGUUUUGUUCACUGAUACAUGCCCAGUUUUUAGCACAGUGCCUUGUACAGAGUAUGAAAUAUUUUUCCUGUAAAGAAAUGAGUGUUGGAUGUUACAGUCUGUGAUAAUAAGGAAAAUCCUGCCCUUCAUUUGUUACUUUCUCUUGCAUAAGAAAUACUUCACUAUUAUUUACCUUAAUUCUUAUCUCAAUUCUAAUAUGCAUGCUGGUUUGUGCCAUUGCUAAGCUCUUUUAAUUGCAAAAGACAAGAAUAUUUGUUUUUAACAGAGUAAUUUGUUAUGAUUCCACAUCCUCCAACAGUGUCAUGGUACAAACAUAAAAUAUAAUAGAGAACAAUGACCAACUUUUAUCUCCUUAUUCUAGUUUUUAUCUCCUUGUGAAUUAAUUUUAGAACUCAAAACUUAGAUAAAAGUAUCUAUGGAGAUUUCUUCCUUUUCAUUUUACUUUACCUAAUUUUAUUGGCUUGAAAGACCUCAUUGUGCUUAAUUAAUAUCAGUGAUCAAAUCUAUUAUGUUCACUUUCACUAUGUAGGUCUUUAAGGGGUACCAACCACUCAAAUAGUCAAAAAGUCCAUGUAUAACUUUUGACUAACCCAAAGAGUUAACUACUAAUAGCCUAUUAUUGACUGGAAGCCUUACCAAUAACAUAAACAGUCAAUUAACACAUAUUUUCUAUGUGAUAUGUAUUAGAUACAGUAUUCUUACAAUAAAAUAAACUAGAGAAAGGAACAUAUUAUUAAGAAAAUCAUAUGAAAGAGAAAAUAUGUUUACUAUUAAGUGGAAGUGGAUCAUUACAAAAGUCUUCAUCUUUGUCAUCAUUUUGAGUUGGCUGAGGAGGAGAGGAAGAGGAAGGAUUGGUUUUGCUGUCCCAGGGGUGGCAGAGGGGGAAGGAAAUCUGCAUAUGAAUGCAUUCAUGCCAUUCAAACCUAUGUUGUUCAAGAGACCACUGUAAAUUAAAAAGGCAUCAGAUUUUUUCCCCUUGUUUCAAUCUUUUCUCCUAUGCCUACAAAUAAGAUGUGAUAAAUGUUAGACUAAGUGAUCUAAAUAACAUGAGCACUGGCCAAGGAUAUUACUUAUAACAUGUGAUGAACUUACACACAUUUUAAAAAUUAUUUUGUUUUACUCUGUCUGAGAUUUGAUUGCCACUUCACCCCACCCCCUCACCUUAAAAUGCUUGUACCAAGGGAACUGGAGUCAGGGAACUGAAAAGAGUAAAGUAUAGAAGGAAGAAAAGUCACUCUAAGAGUUGUUGUUGUUGUUGUUGUUUGCUUAUUUGUUUGCUUAGAGACAGGGUGUUGCUCUGUCACCCAGGCUAGAGUAUAGCUGUGGGAUCAUGACUCACUGCAGUCUUGAAUUCCUGGGUGUAAUUGAUCCUCCCACCUCAGCCUCUUGAUUAACUGGGACUACAUGCACACAUCACCAUGCCCAGCAAAUUUUUUAAAAAUACAUUUUUUUGGUAGAGAUGAGGUCUUGUUAUGUUGCCCAGGCUGGUCUCAAACUGCUGGCUUCAAGCAAACCUCCUUUGUCAGUUUCCCAAAGUACUGGGAUUACAGGCAUGAGUCACCCUGACUGGCCCUACCUAAGAGUAUUUUUUAACACUGAUUUCUGCUUUGAGCCACUGGGUCUUGAUCCUUCUAAAGACAGUGUAGAAUCUACUUGAGAAUAGAAUGGAAUGGAAUUCAAUGGAAUGGAAUUCAGUGGAAUUCAAUGGAAUUCAAUGGAACAGAAUGAAUCACAUAAAUGCAACUGAGAAUUUUCUGUCUGAAAAAUGGAAGGUGGGGAUUUUAUAGCCAUCAGAUCCCAUCCCUUGUUCUUUAAAGGUGUGUAAGAGUGUGCAUGUGAGCAAGCUUGGCAGGCAUCCAGGGAACAAAAGCACAGGAGCCCUAAGAAAGAAAGAAAAACUUAGGCUUUGUGAAUCUGUCCCUGUGUGCAGCUGGAGGCCACAGGAACAUUCAGGACACAAAGAUGAGCUAAGAAGUUGUCAUGUGUGGUAUAAGAUGUCUGGCCAACAUUGUGAUAGGAAAAGUAAUAGAUCUAAUUAUGGUUCAUUAUUAAGAUUCAAGAAAAACGAUAAAAAGGGACAAGAAAGAAAAAAAGCACUGAUGAUACCACUGCUCAGAUAAAAAUCAUUUAUAACUGGGACAUUUUUUAGAAUACCAGACCAGAAUUCUUUCAAAUUUCAAAGCAAUGAGUAACAAUAAAUAAGUAAGCAACUGUCAAAGACCAAAGGAGGUUGAGGAGAAAUGACUAAAUAUAAUGUAAUAUCCUGUAUUAGAUCUUGGUCCAGAGAAAGAAUUUUUAAAAACUGGUAAAAUGUAAAUAAAGCCUUUUGUUUAGUUAAUAGAAAUGUACUAAUUGAUACAGGGCUGGCAAGCCCUAAAGUGGAGCUUAGCCCAGGAGGGGGUUCUUGGCCUUGCCCAGGAAAGAAUUCAAGGGUAAGCCACAGGUAGAAGUAAACAACUUUACUGAAGAGGCAGUGGUACAGCUCUAUGAUUGCUACUGCAGAGCAGGGCUACCCCAUAGGCAGAGAGUAGGAGCUCAGGGCUGUUUUGCAGUCACAUUUAUACCUACUUUUAAUAACAUCCAGAUUAAAGGGUGGUUUAUGCAGAAAUUUCUAGGGAAGGGGUAGUAACUCUUGGAUCAUUUGUCAUUGCCAAGGAAAGAGGUGGUAAUUCCCAGGUAUUGCCAUGUAACUGACAUGGCACACUGGUGGACAUGUCUGAUGGAAAGCUUCUUCCACUGCAGCCCUGUUUUAGCUAGUUCUCAAUUUGGUCUGGUGUCCAAGCCCUGGCUGUCAGGCCUCUGAGCCCAAGCUAAGCCAUUAUAUCCCCUGUGACCUGCACAUACACAUCCAGAUGGCCGGUUCCUGCCUUAACUGAUGACAUUCCACCACAAAAGAAGUGAAAAUGGCCUGUUCCUGCUUUAACUGAUGACAUUGUCUUGUGAAAUUCCUUCUCCUGGCUCAUCCUGGCUCAAAGGCUACCCCACUGAGUACCUUGUGACCCCCACUCCUGCCCACCAGAGAACAACCCGCCUUUUUCCUUUACCUACCCAAAUCCUGUAAAACGGCCCCACCCCUAUCUCCCUUGGCUGACUAUCUUUUCGGACUCAGCCUGCCUGCACCCAGGUGAUUAAAAGCUUUAUUGCUCACACAAAGCCUGUUUGGUGGUCUCUUCACACGGAUGCACAUGAAAUUUGGUGCCGUGACUCAGAUCGGGGGACCUCCCUUGGGAGAUCAAUCCCCUGUCCUCCUGCUCUUUGCUCCGUGAGAAAGGUCCACCUACAACCUCAGGUCCUCAGACCGACCAGCCCAAGAAACAUCUCACCAAUUUCAAAUCCGGUAAGUGGCCUCAUUUUACUCUCUUCUCCAACCUUCGUCACUAUCCCUCAACCUCUUUCUCCUUUCAAUCUUGGUGCCACACUUCAAUCUCCCAAUUCUCUUAAUUUCAAUUCCUUUCAUUUUCUGGUAGAGACAAAGGAGACACGUUUUACCUGUGGACCCAAAACUCCAGCGCCGGUCAUGGACUAGGGAAGGCAGCCUUCCCUUGGUGUUUAAUCAUUGCAGGGAUGCCUGAUUAUUUACCCAGGUUUCAGAGGUGUCAGACCACACGGGGAUGCCUGCCUUUGUCCUUCACCCUUAGCAGCAAGUUCCACUUUUCUAGGGGAGGUGCAAGUACCCCAAUCCCUUCUCUCCAUGUCUCCACCCCUUCUCUGCUUUUCUGGGUGAGGGGCAAGAACCCCUCAAACCCCUUCUCCUUCACCCUUAGUGGCAAGUCCUGCUUUUCCAGGAGAAAAGAACACCCAAUCCCUUAUUUCCGCACCCUGACCUCUUAUCUCUGUGCCUCAUCCCUUAUUUCCAUGCCCCGACCUCUUAUCUCUGUGCCCCAAUCCCUUAUUUCUGUGCCCUGACCUCUUAUCUCUGUGCCCCAAUCCCUUAUUUCCAUGCCCCGACCCCUUUCUCAAUUUUCUGGAAGGUAAGAACCCCUGAACCCCUUCCAUGUCUCUACUCUCUCUUUUCUCUAGGCUUGCCUCUUUCACUAUGGACAACCUUCCACCCUCCAUUCCUCCGUCUCCCUUAGCCUGUGCUCUCAAGAACUUAAAACCUCUUCAACUCACACCGAACCUAAAACGUAAAUGCCUUAUUUUCUCCUACAAUGCCGCUUGACCCCAGUACAAGCUCGACAGUGGUUCCAAAUAGCCAGAAAAAGGCACUUUCAAUUUUUCCAUCCCGCAAGAUCUAAAUAAUUCUUGUCUUGGACUAAAAUAGGCAAAUGGUCUGAGGUGCCUGAUGUCCAGGCACUCUUCUACACAUCAGUCUCUCCCUAGUCUCUGUGCCCAAUGCAACUCAUCCCGAAUCUUCCUUCUUUCCCUCCUGCCUGUCCCCUCCGUCUCAACCCCAAGCAUCACUGAGUCUUUCUAAUCUUCCUUUUCUACAGACCCAUCUGACCUCUCCCCUCCUCCCCAGGCCGAGCUAGGUCCCAAUUCUUCCUCAGCCUCCACUCCUCCACCCUAUAAUCCUUUAUCACCUCCCCUCCUCACACCUGGUCCAGUUUACAGUUAAGUUCCAUGAGUAGCCCUCCACCACCUGCCCAGCAAUUUACUCUUAAAAAGGUGGCUGGAGCUAAAGGCAUAGUCAAGGCUAAUGCUCCUUUUUCUUUAUCCCAAAUCAGAUAGCGUUUAGGCUCUUUUUCAUCAAAUAUAAAAAUCCAGCCCGGUUCAUGGCUCGUUUCGCAGCAACCCUGAGACGCUUUACAGCCCUAGACCCUAAAAUAUCAAAAGGCCAUCUUAUUCUCAAUAUACAUUUUAUUACCCAAUCUGCUCCCGACAUUAAGUAAAAAUCCAAAAAUUAAAUUCCGGCCCUCAAACCCCACAACAGGACUUAAUUAACCUCGCCUUCAAGGUGUACAAUAAUAGAGGCAGCCAAGUAGCAAUAUAUUUCUGAGUUUCAAUUCCUUUCCUCCACUGUGAGACAAACCCCAGCCACAUCUCCAGCACACAAGAACUUCCAAACGCCUAAACCACAGUGGCCAGGCGUUCCUCCAGAACCACCUUCCCCAGGAGCUUGCUACAAGUGCCAGAAAUCUGGCCACCAGGCCAAGGAAUGCCUGCAGCCCGGGAUUCCUCCUAAGCCGUGUCCCAUCUGUGCAGGACCCCACUGGAAAUCAGACUGUUCAACUCACCUGGCAGCCACUGGAACUCUGGCCCAAGGCUCUCUGACUCCUUCCCAGAUCUUCUCGGCUUAGCGGCUGAAGACUGACGCUGCCCGAUUGCCUCGGAAGCCCAUAGACUAUCACGGACGCCAAGCUUUAGGUAACUCUCACAGUGGAGGCUGUCUCUCCAGGAGGACACAAAGAAAAGAUCAAGACAGCAUGUAGCAAAUGUAGCAAGGAGGCAUCCAAUCAUCUGCAACCCAAGGGGCAAACCCUCGCCACACACCAACCCUGCUGGCUCCUUGCUUUUGGACUUCCAGUUUCAGAAUUAUGAGAAAAUACAUUUCUGUGUUUAGGCCAUCAAGUCUAUUGUAUUUUGUUCUGACAGCCUGAACAGACUAAUACACAGUAUAAUACAAUUGAAUUGUUGAUUCAUCUAAGAAAUAUAUAAUUUCUACAUGGUUUGUUGCAAUUAUCUGGGAAUAAAUAUUACCAUGACCACU
rnacentral:lncRNA from 1 species